GAUGAAGAACGUAGCGAAAUGCGAUAAGUAAUGUGAAUUGCAGAAUUCAGUGAAUCAUCGAAUCUUUGAACGCACAUUGCGCCCGCCAGCAUUCUGGCGGGCAUGCCUGUUCGAGCGUCAUUUCAACCCUCAAGCUCUGCUUGGUGUUGGGGCCCUACGGUUGACGUAGGCCCUUAAAGGUAGUGGCGGACCCUCUCGGAGCCUCCUUUGCGUAGUAACUAACGUCUCGCAUUGGGAUUCGGAGGGACUCUUGCCGUAAAACCACCAAAUUUUCUAAUGGUUGACCUCGGAUCAGGUAGGAAUAUCCGCUGAACUUAAGCAUAUCAAUAAGCGGAGGA
rnacentral:misc_RNA from 1 species